UGUCCUUUGGACUUGGCUAUCCAAAAAGGAAAAGGAGAAGAGAUGAGAAGCCUACAGGCCACAGAUCUGGGCUUUAGAGACCUAGUCUUUCUGACCACAAGUUUGGUUGUUCUGACUCAAGGAUCUGAGACCCUUGCAUAACCGGAAUGAACAUGAUCACACAGUAUGUCUUCCCAAGACUGAACAUUUGCUUCUCUGGCUGAAACAGUCUCACCUAACCAUGUGACCCUUGUACCAAGACCUGUUUGUACAUUAUGCAGAUUUUUAGUCUCAAAUUCCUUCACCUACUGGAAGAAAUGUGGUUGUAUGAUUAAGUUCCAGGACUGGGAAUCAAGAUUCCUGGGAUCUAUUCCUGGCUCUGCAAGA